rnacentral:lncRNA from 1 species
GGACGAGGUUUCCUGCAUCUUUGAUGCUGUUUGUUUUUCAUUCAUCGCUGACGCAGUCCGUCGCUUUCCUUUUUAACUCCCCUCCCUUUUCUCCUUUUUCUUUUUCGAGUGGGGGCUUUCCCUCUGCUCUUGGCAGGGUUGUGGGAGCGUGAAGGGGCCGCUGGGAAGGUCCCCUUUUUCCCAUCCAGUCUUGAAUGACCAGACCUUAAUUGGUGUCAGGACGGGGUUCUUCUCCUAUUUCUG